rnacentral:tRNA from 1 species
UCCCUAGUAGUCCAGAGGCUGAGACUCCCCACUCCCAAUGCGGGGCGCCCAGGUUCAAUCCCUGGUUGGGGAA